rnacentral:rRNA from 1 species
GACGCAUCACUGGUGUUCGGGUUGUCAUGCCAAUGGCACUGCCCGGUAGCUAAAUGCGGAAGAGAUAAGUGCUGAAAGCAUCUAAGCACGAAACUUGCCCCGAGAUKMGUUCUCCCUGACUCCUUGAGAGUCCUGAAGGAACGUUGAAGACGACGACGUUGAUAGGCCGGGUGUGUAAGCGCAGCGAUGCGUUGAGCUAACCGGUACUAAUGAACCGUGAGGCUUAACCUUACAACGCCGAAGCUGUU